GUCCACGCCGUAAACGAUGUCUACUAGCCGUUGGGUGACUUGAUCACUUAGUGGCGCAGCUAACGCGAUAAGUAGACCGCCUGGGGAGUACGGCCGCAAGGCUAAAACUCAAAUGAAUUGACGGGGGCCCGCACAAGCGGUGGAGCAUGUGGUUUAAUUCGACGCAACGCGAAGAACCUUACCAGGUCUUGACAUCCUCGGAACUUUCUAGAAAUAGAUUGGUGCCUUCGGGAAUCGAGUGAC
rnacentral:rRNA from 1 species